GCAUUUUUGUUUUUAUUUUUUUAACAUUUGGAAAUAUGUUUAAUAUGCAUUUCAAAUAAAGGGUGCAUAUGCACCCGGGUGCAGAAACACCCUGUCCGUAGGACACUGUGUAUUUUUACUUAUUAAUAUCUCCUAGAUGCCCUGCUCUUAUUUUACUUAGUGUUAUUUGAAAGUUCACCCAACAUGAUUUAUUGAUAUAACUCUUCACAAUACUCGGUGUAUUGUUGAUUGAUAGUGCUAUGUUUUUUUCAUACUCACAGCUAAUUGGACUUUUAGAUGUUCAUCGUGUCGUAUCUUUGCUUACUAGCGGUUAACUAUUUCUGUAUAACUCCGAUGUUACAUCAUGUUAUUGCUAUGUGAUUUCCGAACCUGACUGAAAUGCACUGGUAGGGCAGUUUUGUUGUGCAUGUUCCUUAAACUGGGAACUAGCCCAGCUUAGCCUAAUGAUCGAAAAGCGCUACCGCUGAUUCCUGGUACAUCAGUAAAAGGUCCUCUUUGGAAUUUCAUAGCCCGAUCACCACUGUUUAAUUGUAGCACGGGUGAAUAUGAUAUUGUUUUUCAUUGGGUCACUACUUCAUUUGAGCAGGACAAUGUUACUACCAUAUUAAGAUACACUCUGUUUAUACAUUGGGUCACUACUUCGAGCAUGAAAAUUUGUAGCUUGUCCAAUUCUGCAUCGUCCUCCAUAGAAAAUGGUACGCCAAAACUAUCAGCAUGAGUAGCUCCGUGCCUCUGUAGAGUGUACUCUUGAAAGAAGCAGUCCUAAUGCAAGAGAAAGAGUCCUAAUGCAAGAGAAAGAAAGCAACUGAGGGAACUUAUCUUGGAGGAUAUAAAUCAUCGAACCAAACAUCCUUCCACAAAGAACUGUGUCACCUGGAUUUUUUGUGCAUGUUGUAACUCUGUAAAUAUCAAACAUUAGCUACUUAAUUGACUCAGUUAGCUGAGUUUUUGUUAGACCUUGUACUAUCCAAAUAUGUUCAGGUUCGUUCAGAAAAAAAUGUUCAGGCUUGUUAA